GAUGAACGCUGGCGGCGGGCCUAAAACAUGCAAGUCGAACGCCCUAGCAAUAGGGAGUGGCGCACGGGUGAGUAACAUGUGGGAAUAUGCCUUUUGGUACGGAACAACGUUUGGAAACGAACGCUAAUACCGUAUGAUCCCUCCGGGGUAAAGAUUUAUCGCCAAAAGAUUAGCCCGCACUAGAUUAGCUAGUUGGUAAGGUAAUGGCUUACCAAGGCGACGAUCUAUAGCUGUUCUGAGAGGAAGAUCAGCCACACUGGGACUGAGACACGGCCCAGACUCCUACGGGAGGCAGCAGUUAGGAAUAUUGGACAAUGGGCGCAAGCCUGAUCCAGCCAUGCCGCGUGAGUGAUGAAGGCCUUCGGGUUGUAAAGCUCUUUAGCCGACGAAUAUAAUGACUGUAGUCGGAGAAUAAGCCCCGGCUAACUCCGUGCCAGCAGCCGCCGUAAAAC
rnacentral:rRNA from 1 species